AUUGAACGCUGGCGGCAGGCUUAACACAUGCAAGUCGUGCGGAGAGAGGUAGCUUGCUACUGAUCUUAGCGGCGGACGGGUGAGUAAUGCUUAGGAAUCUGCCUAUUAGUGGGGGACAACAUUUCGAAAGGAAUGCUAAUACCGCAUACGUCCUACGGGAGAAAGCAGGGGAUCUUCGGACCUUGCGCUAAUAGAUGAGCCUAAGUCGGAUUAGCUAGUUGGUGGGGUAAAGGCCUACCAAGGCGACGAUCUGUAGCGGGUCUGAGAGGAUGAUCCGCCACACUGGGACUGAGACACGGCCCAGACUCCUACGGGAGGCAGCAGUGGGGAAUAUUGGACAAUGGGCGCAAGCCUGAUCCAGCCAUGCCGCGUGUGUGAAGAAGGCCUUAGGGUUGUAAAGCACUUUAAGCGAGGAGGAGGCUACUUUAGUUAAUACCGAGAGAUAGUGGACGUUACUCGCAGAAUAAGCACCGGCUAACUCUGUG
rnacentral:rRNA from 1 species